AUGCUUCGUGAUGAGACACUAAACAGCAUUCUAUAAUGCAUAUUGUCAUAGUUACUCUGAAAGCAU